CCCUUAGAUGUUCGGGGCCGCACGCGCGCUACACUGAAGGAAUCAGCACGUCUUUCUCCUUGUCCGAAAGGACUGGGUAACCCGCUGAACCUCCUUCGUGCUAGGGAUUGGGGCUUGUAAUUCUUCCCCAUGAACGAGGAAUUCCCAGUAAGCGCGAGUCAUAAGCUCGCGUUGAUUACGUCCCUGCCCUUUGUACACACCGCCCGUCGCUACUACCGAUUGGAUGGUUUAGUGAGAUCCUCGGAUUGGUCCCGGCGCGGCCUCUGGUCGUGCCGGAGUGCCGAAAAGACUGUCGAACUUGAUCAUCUAGAGGAAGUAAAAGUCGUAACA
rnacentral:rRNA from 1 species